UACGUAGGGGGCGAGCGUUGUCCGGAGUUACUGGGCGUAAAGCGCACGCAGGCGGUCUGCUAAGUUUGGAGUGACAGUUGGUGGCUUAACUGCCAAAGUGCUUCGAAAACUGACAGACUUGAGGGCUUCAGAGGGACACGGAAUUCCGGGUGGAGUGGUGAAAUGCGUAGAGAUCCGGAGGAACACCAAAGGCGAAGGCAGUGUCCUGAGGAGUACCUGACGCUCAGGUGCGAAAGCCAGGGGAGCGAACGGG
rnacentral:rRNA from 1 species